rnacentral:tRNA from 1 species
GCCGGUUUAGCUCAGUUGGUAGAGCAGUCGCCUUGUAAGCGAAUGGUCAGCGGUUCGAGUCCGUUAACCGGCACCA